AGGGACUUCCGGGAAAACCGGAAAUGACACGCACGGGACAGACGGUCUGUGAUCGCUUAAAGCUAAAUCUCGUGAUUAAACAGUUCGAGAAAGAGGGUCUGUUCCAGAAAGCGGGUUCAAAAAAUCUUAAACUUAAACUUGAAACCUGACUUGAGUGAGCCAGAUGGCGCAUAUUCUGAUUUUUCUGUUCUACAACAACGGAUUUCAAUUCAAGUAAUCAAGAUCGAUCAAGCUGGGAUAGGUUAAGCCCAAACGGCUUCAAAACGCUUUUCUCCCAUAGAAAGUCAAUGGAUGACGUCACAGUCACUUUGUCCAUAUUUUUUCUACUGUCUAUGGCGCGUUCAGGGUGAAUUUAAAAAUCAAUCUCAAAUCAGACACUGACAAAAAAAAAAGGAUUCAACAUGGAUAAUGAGAGCGAGAAACAACGCGCUGCAUUUUUCACACCGAUUGAACAAGAGACAAUCAUAGCAGCAUACAACGACUACGUUCAUAUAUUCCAUAAAAAAAGCAAUACAUCAGCUGCAGCAAAGGAACGGGAGCUUGCGUGGAAAACAAUAGCGGAUAGAGUUAAUGCAUGUAACCCUGGAGGCAGUAGAAGAACGUGGCAGCAAGUGAAAGUCAAGUACAAAAACAUAAUUCAAACAGCCAAUAGGAAGAAGGCUGAGGCCCGUAAGACGGGAGGGGUGCCCCCUCCACCACCGUUCUCUCCCGGUGAAGAGCAGGGUCCCUCGCAGAACAGCGGAAGCGGGCCAGUCACGGAUGGCAUUCCAGGGGCUAGUUCAUCUGAGCCAGCUACGCCCCAGGACACAAGCGCCUAUAUAAAGGUGAAUGAUGGAGACUUCCAGUCGGUUGACCAUUGUACAAAAAUAGCAAGUAGCCACAUCCUUCAUACAUUUCACUUAGCAUAGCCAAUGGGUUUAAAGUAUAACAUUUGAAACGUUUUUGUUACAGGAUGAAGAUGAGGAGAUUCUCACAAGGGUAUUCACUGACGGGCCUACGGAGCAAAGCAUGGCUCCUGCUCCUGCACGUUCUCCUCCAGCACGUUCUCCCCCAGCUGUGGAGCCCUCCACCUCCAGACAACAUCUUAGCACAAAGCCUGUGGAGGAGUUGUACAAAGUCCAUUUAGAGAGAAAAAUUGAGAAGUCUGACCUGGAGAUCACUCACUUGAAGCUACAAAUUAGGAAAACGGAGCUUGAGACAGCGAUAUUAGAGCACCAGUUGAAGGAAAUACAGAGGAAAUAAAUGGGGGAGGCGAACCACCAUUUUGGAUUUAUUUUUAUUUUUUUAACAUUGUGCUGGAGAGGCAGGGCACUGCGGCCAACGUUGUGGAGCUGUCAGUUUUAAGUGAUGAUUUGCACCAGAUUCAAACCCCCCGUUGAACGUGCUUUUCACUGGCUCACAAGGAAACUGAGGCCUGAAACCCCCAGCAAAGACACAGCCAUGGAAAGGGCCCAGAGCGGCUCGGAGCAUCAUGGACCUGCUGACGUCCACGGGCCGCAGCCUCGAUGCAGCCAUCAGGUGUAAGGGGCGUGCAACCAAAUAUCCACCCCGCAAGUGGUUAAAUUGAUCAAAACUUACUUUGAUGCAAACAUGAAAUAGUUGGAGACUCGACUCAUUGAAUGGCAUUGUUGUAACAUAGUUCAGUGUAGGUUAAACAAAUCAUGAAGUAAAUUUGUAUAACUGUAUAUACUGUAAUAACUGUAUAUCAAGAGGAAAAAUUGUAAUUACCCUGGGUGAGCAUUUGUAAAAAAAACUAAAAACAA